UACGUAGGGUGCAAGCGUUGUCCGGAAUUAUUGGGCGUAAAGAGCUCGUAGGCGGUUUGUCGCGUCGGCUGUGAAAACUCGGGGCUCAACCCCGAGCCUGCAGUCGAUACGGGCAAACUAGAGUGCUGUAGGGGAGACGUGGAAUUCCUGGUGUAGCGGUGAAAUGCGCAGAUAUCAGGAGGAACACCGGUGGCGAAGGCGGGUCUCUGGGCAGUAACUGACGCUGAGGAGCGAAAGCGUGGGGAGCGAACAGG
rnacentral:rRNA from 1 species